ACGGCGAGUGAAGCGGCAAGAGCUCAAAUUUGAAAUCUGGCCCCUUUGGGGUCCGAGUUGUAAUUUGCAGAGGAUGCUUCGGGUGCGGUCCCCGUCUAAGUGCCCUGGAACGGGCCGUCAUAGAGGGUGAGAAUCCCGUCUGGGAUGGGCGGCCGCGCCCGUGUGAAGCUCCUUCGACGAGUCGAGUUGUUUGGGAAUGCAGCUCUAAGCGGGUGGUAAAUUUCAUCUAAAGCUAAAUACUGGCCGGAGACCGAUAGCGCACAAGUAGAGUGAUCGAAAGAUGAAAAGCACUUUGAAAAGAGAGUUAAACAGCACGUGAAAUUGUUGAAAGGGAAGCGUUGUCCACCAGACUCGCCCGGGGGGGCUCAGCCGGCACACGUGCCGGUGUACUCCUCUCCGGGCGGGCCAGCAUCGGUUUGGGCGGCUGGUGAAAGGCCCCGGGAAUGUAACACCCUUCGGGGUGCCUUAUAGCCCGGGGUGCCAUACAGCCAGCCUGGACCGAGGCCCGCGCUUCGGCGAGGAUGCUGGCGUAAUGGUGGUCAACGGCCCGUCUGAAAACACGGACACACCCUGACCCCUGCUUCCUCGCCGAAGCGCGAGCCUCGGUCCGGCCGGCUGUAUGCACUCGGGCUAU
rnacentral:rRNA from 1 species